rnacentral:tRNA from 1 species
ACAAGGAUGGCCGAGUUGUUAAGGCGUAGGACUUAAGAUCCAAUCGAUGUAUAUCCACUAGGGUUCGAACCCCCCUCCUGAUA